GUUAGGAAUAUUGGACAAUGGGCGCAAGCCUGAUCCAGCCAUGCCGCGUGAGUGAUGAAGGCCUUCGGGUUGUAAAGCUCUUUAGCCGAUGAUUAUAAUGACUGUAGUCGGAAAAUAAGCCCCGGCUAACUUCGUGCCAGCAGCCGCGGUAAUACGAAGGGGGCGAGCGUUAUUCGGAAUCACUGGGCGUAAAGCGUGCGUAGGCGGCUUUGCAAGUUGGGAGUGAAAGCCGAGGGCUCAACCCUGGAAUUGCUCUCAAAACUGCAAGGCUCGAAUUCGGGAGAGGAUAGCGGAAUUGUCAGUGUAGCAGUGAAAUGCGUAGAUAUUGACAGGAACACCAGUGGCGUAAGCGGCUAUCUGGACCGAUAUUGACGCUGAGGCACGAAAGCGUGGGGAUCAAACAGGAUUAGAAACCCCAGUAGUCC
rnacentral:rRNA from 1 species